UUAGCUAGUUGGUAGGGUAACGGCUUACCAAGGCGACGAUGUCUAGGGGCUCUGAGAGGAGAAUCCCCCACACUGGUACUGAGACACGGACCAGACUCCUACGGGAGGCAGCAGUAAGGAAUAUUGGUCAAUGGGCGGAAGCCUGAACCAGCCAUGCCGCGUGCAGGAUGACUGCCCUAUGGGUUGUAAACUGCUUUUGUCCAGGAAUAAACCUGUCUACGUGUAGAUAGCUGAAUGUACUGGAAGAAUAAGGAUCGGCUAACUCCGUGCCAGCAGCCGCGGUAAUACGGAGGAUCCGAGCGUUAUCCGGAUUUAUUGGGUUUAAAGGGUGCGUAGGCGGCCUAUUAAGUCAGGGGUGAAAUACGGUGGCUCAACCAUCGCAGUGCCUUUGAUACUGAUGGGCUUGAAUCCAUUUGAAGUGGGCGGAAUAAGACAAGUAGCGGUGAAAUGCAUAGAUAUGUCUUAGAACUCCGAUUGCGAAGGCAGCUCACUAAGCUGGUAUUGACGCUGAUGCACGAAAGCGUGGGGAUCGAACAGGAUUAGAUACCCUGGUAGUCCACGCCCUAAACGAUGAUAACUCGAUGUUGGCGAUAGACAGCCAGCGUCC
rnacentral:rRNA from 1 species